GUUGAACGCUGGCGGCAUGCCUUACACAUGCAAGUCGAACGGUAACAGGUCUUCGGAUGCUGACGAGUGGCGAACGGGUGAGUAAUACAUCGGAACGUGCCUAGUAGUGGGGGAUAACUACUCGAAAGAGUGGCUAAUACCGCAUGAGAUCUACGGAUGAAAGCAGGGGAUCGCAAGACCUUGUGCUACUAGAGCGGCCGAUGGCAGAUUAGGUAGUUGGUGGGAUAAAAGCUUACCAAGCCGACGAUCUGUAGCUGGUCUGAGAGGACGAUCAGCCACACUGGGACUGAGACACGGCGCAGACUCCUACGGGAGGCAGCAGUGGGGAAUUUUGGACAAUGGGCGCAAGCCUGAUCCAGCAAUGCCGCGUGCAGGAUGAAGGCCUUCGGGUUGUAAACUGCUUUUGUACGGAACGAAAAGCCCCGGGUUAAUACCCUGGGGUCAUGACGGUACCGUAAGAAUAAGCACCAGCUAACUACGUGCCAGCCGCCGCAGUAA
rnacentral:rRNA from 1 species